rnacentral:rRNA from 1 species
ACGGAAGGCAGCAGUGGGGAAUAUUGCACAAUGGGGGAAACCCUGAUGCAGCGACGCCGCGUGAGCGAUGAAGUAUUUCGGUAUGUAAAGCUCUAUCAUCAGGGAAGAUAAUGACGGUACCUGACUAAGAAGCUCCGGCUAAAUACGUGCCAGCAGCCGCGGUAAUACGUAUGGAGCAAGCGUUAUCCGGAUUUACUGGGUGUAAAGGGAGCGUAGACGGCAUAGCAAGUCUGAAGUGAAAAUCCAGAGCUCAACUCUGGAACUGCUUUGGAAACUGCCAGGCUAGAGUGCAGGAGGGGCAAGCGGAAUUCCUAGUGUAGCGGUGAAAUGCGUAGAUAUUAGGAGGAACACCGGUGGCGAAGGCGGCUUGCUGGACUGUAACUGACGUUGAGGCUCGAAAGCGUGGGGAGCAAACAGGAUUAGAUACCCUGGUA